rnacentral:rRNA from 1 species
GUGAACGCUGGCGGUAGGCCUAACACAUGCAAGUCGAACGGCAGCACAGUAAGAGCUUGCUCUUACGGGUGGCGAGUGGCGGACGGGUGAGGAAUACAUCGGAAUCUACUUUUUCGUGGGGGAUAACGUAGGGAAACUUACGCUAAUACCGCAUACGACCUACGGGUGAAAGCAGGGGAUCUUCGGACCUUGCGCGAUUGAAUGAGCCGAUGUCGGAUUAGCUAGUUGGCGGGGUAAAGGCCCACCAAGGCGACGAUCCGUAGCUGGUCUGAGAGGAUGAGCAGCCACACUGGAACUGAGACACGGUCCAGACUCCUACGGGAGGCAGCAGUGGGGAAUAUUGGACAAUGGGCGCAAGCCUGAUCCAGCCAUACCGCGUGGGUGAAGAAGGCCUUCGGGUUGUAAAGCCCUUUUGUUGGGAAAGAAAAGCAGCAGGUUAAUACCCCGCUGUUCUGACGGUACCCAAAGAAUAAGCACCGGCUAACUUCGUG